rnacentral:rRNA from 1 species
UCGAACGGCAGCGCGGGCGGGGGUAACCUCGCCUGGCGGCGAGUGGCGAACGGGUGAGUAAUAUAUCGGAACGUACCCAAGAGUGGGGGAUAACGUAGCGAAAGUUACGCUAAUACCGCAUACGAUCCAAGGAUGAAAGUGGGGGACCUUCGGGCCUCAUGCUCCUGGAGCGGCCGAUAUCUGAUUAGCUAGUUGGUGAGGUAAAGGCUCACCAAGGCGACGAUCAGUAGCUGGUCUGAGAGGACGACCAGCCACACUGGGACUGAGACACGGCCCAGACUCCUACGGGAGGCAGCAGUGGGGAAUUUUGGACAAUGGGCGCAAGCCUGAUCCAGCAAUGCCGCGUGAGUGAAGAAGGCCUUCGGGUUGUAAAGCUCUUUUGUCAGGGAAGAAACGGUUCUGGAUAAUACCUGGAGCUAAUGACGGUACCUGAAGAAUAAGCACCGGCUAACUACGUGCCAGCAGCCGCGGUAAUACGUAGGGUGCAAGCGUUAAUCGGAAUUACUGGGCGUAAAGCGUGCGCAGGCGGUUUUGUAAGUCUGUCGUGAAAGCCCCGGGGCUUAACCUGGGAAU